UAACGAAUCUUCCGCAAUGGGCGAAAGCCUGAUGCAGCGACGCCGCGUGGGGGAUGAAGGCCUUAGGGUCGUAAACCCCUUUCAGCAGGGACGAAAAUGACGGUACCUGCAGAAGAAGCCCCGGCCAACUACGUGCCAGCAGCCGCGGUAAGACGUAGGGGGCGAGCGUUGUCCGGAUUUAUUGGGCGUAAAGAGCUCGUAGGCGGUUGCGUAAGUCGGAUGUGAAAACUCAGGGCUCAACCCUGAGACGCCAUCCGAUACUGCGCUGACUUGAAUCCAGUAGGGGAGUGUGGAAUUUCCGGUGUAGCGGUGAAAUGCGUAGAUAUCGGAAGGAACAUCGGUGGCGAAGGCGUCUACCUGGCCUAAUACUGACACUGAGGCACGAAAGCGUGGGGAGCAAACAGGAUUAGAUACCCUCGUAGUCCCUGAGCGGGCUGGCAAGGCGCAU
rnacentral:rRNA from 1 species